rnacentral:rRNA from 1 species
GACGAACGCUGGCGGCGUGCCUAAUACAUGCAAGUAGAACGCUGAAGGAGGAGCUUGCUUCUCUGGAUGAGUUGCGAACGGGUGAGUAACGCGUAGGUAACCUGCCUGGUAGCGGGGGAUAACUAUUGGAAACGAUAGCUAAUACCGCAUAACAGUAGAUAUCGCAUGAUAUCUACUUGAAAGGUGCAAUUGCAUCACUACCAGAUGGACCUGCGUUGUAUUAGCUAGUUGGUGAGGUAACGGCUCACCAAGGCGACGAUACAUAGCCGACCUGAGAGGGUGAUCGGCCACACUGGGACUGAGACACGGCCCAGACUCCUACGGGAGGCAGCAGUAGGGAAUCUUCGGCAAUGGACGGAAGUCUGACCGAGCAACGCCGCGUGAGUGAAGAAGGUUUUCGGAUCGUAAAGCUCUGUUGUAAGAGAGGAACGAGUGUGAGAGUGGAAAGUUCACACUGUGACGGUAUCUUACCAGAAAGGGACGGCUAACUACGUG